rnacentral:lncRNA from 1 species
GUAAUGGUUGAAAGAAUGAGAAACUGACAUUCAAGAGCAUGGUAACUUGGUACAUCUCUCAAAUUAAGACAUUACCUGACAAGGAAAUUGAGACGAAUAGAAACUGAGUGACUCACCCAGAUUUACACAGAGACAGUUUCUGUCCCAGAGUGGUACAUCAAAAGUUUGACUCAAAUUGACAAGUUGUACCAACAUCAAGAGGAACUGUGCACAACAAAGACCCCCUACUUGACUGUCAGUGGAUCACAACUGGUCAAGUCCACAGAAUGUAGAGAGGAGAAAAACAUUUCCCAUGAAGCAAUAGAAUAGGUUAGAAAAUAUUUACCUGAUAGGACCAUUUUGAAUGAAUAUCAUGAAAGUUUGUUUUUUUAGUUGUUGUGGAAGAGGCAUGUAUUCAAAAGACAGAAACUGGAGAUGGAUCAUCUGCCAGUCAAAUGAAAAUUCCAUUUGGAAUGUUACUGGGAAAAGCAGUUUGGAGCCAAGCCAACUGCUUGACUGGAUUUGAAGGUCUUUGGGGCUUUCUGGCUGACCCUGAAGGAAGAAGCUGGUUUUAUCUCUGGGACUUGGGAUAAUCAAGUUGGAGGUGAUCUGAUUGAUUUGAACGAAAAAGAAGGACAAUAGUUCAUAUAUUUCUCUCUGACUGGUUCUGUUUCAUGCUAGUGACUUAAUUGCCAUUUCUCUCAAUAUCCUCCAACUUAAAACUCAUUGUAGAGAAUAGGGAUACCCCACCCCUCUUACCUCCAUCCUCUAUCCUUUUCCUGUCUUCCCCAAAUAAACCCCUUGUUUAACAAAGAAGAUUAAGAACU